rnacentral:rRNA from 1 species
AUACGGAGGGUGCAAGCGUUAAUCGGAAUUACUGGGCGUAAAGCGCGCGUAGGCGGGUUGGCAAGUCAGAUGUGAAAUCCUACAGCUUAACUGUAGAACUGCAUUUGAAACUGCUAACCUAGAGUAUGGGAGGGGGAGAUGGAAUUAGUGGUGUAGGGGUAAAAUCCGUAGAUAUCACUAGGAAUACCGAAAGCGAAGGCGAUCUCCUGGAACAUAACUGACGCUAAGGCGUGAAAGCGUGGGGAGCAAACAGGAUUAGAAACCCUAGUAGUCC